ensembl:lncRNA
GAGGCUCUUCGAGAGCAGGCUCUGGGAUACUUCAGGAAUACGAUCAUGGCUUGCUUGAUCUGUCUCAAGAUUCAGAACCUAGCAGCCUGGACUCCCCGUCUUCUACCACUGUGUUCCUAUCUUCUGAAGAGCCAGGUCGCUCCACCACGGAUCUCCCAUCGCCAUCCUCCUCCUGUGAGCAUGUGCCCCCACCAUUUUCGCCUCCUUCCUCAGCCCUGCAGCCCCUGCUGCCCUCGCUGCUCCCAUUGGCACCAAAGGCCAGCUCUAGCACCUCUAGACAUCUUGGACUUUACUCCCCUUUGGUCACAUCUCCAGAACCAGCCCCUCGCCUCAUUGACUGGCUGCCCAAUCUUACCUCGGCAAUACCUCCAAGUGGGAGCUCUGGGGAUGAACAGGAGCAUGUGCCUCCCAUGGAGGGAAGUACUCAGGCCCCAGAGAAGAGCAGAGAUAGAACUUUGCACGUGAAUGGGAGAGAGAGAGAUGGUCAGCGAGGGAGUGUGGAAGAAUGGCCACCACCAGAGACCUGCCCAUCUCUUCCCUGUCAUGUGGGUCCUUCAGGCUCCAAACAGUUUCCUGCAGCCACUCCAAGUUUGGAGGCAGAUGUGGGGAACAUCCUUGUGGAGCUGAGGACAAUGAAUGGACACUUGGAUGUUAUCGCUAAAGCCCUCACCAAGCUGGCUGCAUCGCUUCUGCCCCAAGCCCAGAACACUCCAGAUAGCCAAGGAUCCAAAUAGAGCAUCAUGGCCCACUUCCUGCUCCCCUCCUCCUAAGAAGACUUCCCUUGGAUACUAUCAGUCUACUCUCAUGUUUGCUCCAAGUACACAGUCUUGGUUGGGUCCCAGAUUUAAAGUGUAUCCAUUAAACAGUCUCAGGAAUGAAUGGUGCUACUUUCUCUAAAAAUACUUAUGCAGUCAAUCUCUGGUCUCCUCUAUUUGGACAUCCCUUCCCAUAAUGCAGACUGUGCUCCUUCUAUGUCUGCCUGUUCUGUGAAGCUCUUGAUGAUGACUUCUCGGAACUUUGACACAAGAUCAACAGGCAGAGGGUUGAAGGUGGGGCAGGACAUUCUGCAUUUUCUCCUAAUAUUAUGAGGAUACCAUUGGAGCACUUGUCCCUUGGCCAGAUGAUGGCAUGUGGUUUGAUGGUCAACCUAGAAGGUAGCAGUGGGGCCCAGUUGAAAGAGAACUGGCUCUGGACUCAGAGGACCUGGAGGUUCAAAUUCCACAUCUGAUGCUUACCAUGUGUAUGUGUCCUUUGGCAAGACACUUAUUUCUCAGACCCUCGGUUUCCUCAUCUGUAAAAUGAAGGGAUUAGACUAGAUGACCUCUGAGGUCCCUUCCAGUUCUAAUUCUAUAAGCUCUAUGAAGAUCUUCA